rnacentral:tRNA from 1 species
GCCGAUUUAGCUCAGUGGUAGAGCAGCAGUUUUGUAAACUGCCUGUCAUCGGUUCAAAUCCGAUAAUCGGCUCCA